AGAAGAGGCUCUAUGUGGUUAUUAUCUCUUUGGGGAUCCUGAGUGUUGGCCUCAUUACUGGACUCAUCAGACUUGGUUUCCACACUCAUGCAUUAUCCAGCUCGGCAGCAGGUCUCUCAAAAGACAAUCUGACUGACCGUCUACAGACCAGUAAUGACCAGCUUUCUGUCAUGACUAAASAAAGAGACCAAUUGAAUGCAACACUCUUGGAAUUGUCUAAUGAAGUGACCAGGCUUCAGAGUUUGUCAAGAUGGAGCGUGUUCAGAGGUUCUUGUUAUCUCCUCUCUGAAACAUCUGGYUCCUGGUAUGAAGGCAGAGCGGACUGYAGGAAGAGAGGAGGAGAUCUGGUGGUGAUAGAUGAU